UGGAACAGGCCACCGUCUGCAGCA
rnacentral:misc_RNA from 1 species